GGGACUGUAGCUCAGAGGAUAGAGCAACGUAAAAACACUUUACCAGAUUUUAACCUGUACACAGGUGUGAUGAUAAAGUUACUUCGCUUGGGGCCGUUGGUCGCCGGUUCGAAUCCGGCCAGUCUCU
rnacentral:tRNA from 2 species